rnacentral:rRNA from 1 species
ACUCCUACGGGAGGCACAGUGGGAAUAUUGCACAAUGGGCGCAAGCCUGAUGCAGCCAUGCCGCGUGUGUGAAGAAGGCCUUCGGGUUGUAAAGCACUUUCAGCAGUGAGGAAGGUAGUGUAGUUAAUAGCUGCAUUAUUUGACGUUAGCUUGCCAGAAGAAGCACCGGCUAACUCCGUGCCAGCAGCCGCGGUAAUACGGAGGGUGCGAGCGUUAAUCGGAAUUACUGGGCGUAAAGCGCAUGCAGGUGGUUUGUUAAGUCAGAUGUG